rnacentral:rRNA from 1 species
CGCGUAGGCCGAUUUGUAAGUCAGAUGUGAAAUACCGAGGCUUAACCUCGGUGCCGCAUUUGAAACUACAAAUCUAGAGGGUUGACGGAGAAAACGGAAUUCCACGUGUAGCGGUGAAAUGCGUGGAUAUGUGGAAGAACACCGGUGGCGAAAGCGGUUUUCUAGUUAAUACCUGACGCUGAGGCGCGAGAGCAAGGGGAAGCAAACA